GCUGUUGGUCAGUCUUAGAACAUCUGCUUGGCAUGCAGAAGUCUUAGGUUCAAUUCCCAGCAUCAGCA
rnacentral:tRNA from 1 species